UGAGCUUCAUGGCAGAAGCCUCUCCUCAGUGAAAGACACAGCCUGCUUGGAGAUGGCAAACAAGCACAUUAGCACUCUGAGUCUCAGACUCUCAGGAACAAGAUUCUCUGGUGUGAUGAAGCCAAGACUGAACAACAGGACAAUGACCCUAAGCACACACAGCCAGGACAAUGCAGGAGUGGCUUAAACCCCAUGCAGACGAAGCCUAGUUUGCCUGAACCCGGGUUCAUUUUUCACACAUAUCAACUUUUUAAAUCGCGUGCACAUGAACCCAGCGAAUCCGAUUGACUCAGCUGUAGUACAUCCCCCACGCCUGUUGAAGAAGACAGGAGCAUGCUAUCAAAGUAACAUAUGACAGUAGUUGAGCUCCAACUAGCAACGUUUAGCUUAGCCGCAUAGCCUACAUUUAAUCUGCACAGUAACACAUUAUGGUGGUUUAUAAAAUCAGUGGUAAGAGCAGACUGUAGGUUAAGCGAAAAAUAAUUAUAUUUGUUAUUGAUAAAAAAGAGUUUAGAACAGUGCAACAAAGCAAUGUGCAACAUGACAUGUCUGAGUUGUUUAAAUGCCUGUGCUUUAUGGAGAUGCUGAGCUUGAGCACGAGAGACCACAAUGCAAGUGCUGUGGAUCCUGGAUGUUUCUUGGUUUACAAUUGCUUCCAAUUUCAUGGUUUUAUUACUAACAACAAAUGUAGGCUAUUGUUGAGGGCUUUGUCCUUCACGUACUGUAGGCUACCUCUGAAGUAAAGUUAACGCUAGCUAGUAGCGAUCGCUAUCGUUGUCUGACAGGACUAAAGCUAACGUAACAUUCAUCUGUUUUGAAACUUCCGUCUAUAAUAAAAAAUCUUUUCACGUCAGAUUUGCUCAUAUAGGCUAUUGUUGACACUUUUAAAAACUGGUUUUUGAAAAAUGGUCUGAUGCAAAUAGAUUAAACAGUGAUAGAUUAAAGUGUGGCUUGUUAAUGUCAUCCCUUUCCUAACAACAGAUAGAUAGAUACAUUUGUAUUAAUCCCGUUAGGGAAAUUCACGUGGAAAAGCAGCAAGGUAAUAGGAAGAUUUUUUUUUUUUUAAACUGG
ensembl:lncRNA